AACCACGCCAUGGUGAAGGGAAUGGAAACUACCUAAAAUCAUUUGUAAUGAAUGUUUUGCACACCUAAAGCGUGGUUUU
rnacentral:sRNA from 1 species